CGACCUCGAGUGGAGGGAGAUGACCCGCCUAAUUUAAGCAUAUUAAUCAGCGGAGGAAAAGAAACCAACCGGGAUUCACUGAGUAAGUGCGACCGAAACGGGAAGAGCCCAGCGCUAAGCCUCGCGUCCCCUUCGCGGGGGCUCGAGGGGUGCUGCGUUCGGGAGAGGUCCUGCACGCGCUUCCGAGCCGCCUAAGUUGUUCAUGAAUGACUCUCAUACCCACGGAGGGUGUCAGGCCCGUGUGGCGGAAAGGGACUUCCUCCUCCUCGUUCGCGGGGAGGGGGGUUUCGGGAGUGCGGAACGGGCCUCUCCUUAGAGUCGGGUUGCCUGAAACCGCAACCUAAAGCAGGUGGUAAACUCCAUCUAAGGCUAAAUAUGACCACGAGACCGAUAGCGAACAAGUACCGUGAGGGAAAGUUGAAACAGAACCCUGUAGAGAGAGUUCAAGAGAACGUGAAACCGUUAAGAGGCUAAACGGGCGGAGAUUCGAAGAUCGAACUGGGGGAUUCAGUUCGUCGGCCUGCCGGGAGACGGCAGCGGGCGUGGCGACUUCCCGUUCCGGAGGCCUCGGCCGAAGGAGCCAACGCGGGGAGCGGCCCCCGCCGCCUGCCCGGCGCCGGCGGGCGAUCUUCCCCCCGCAGUAGGUCGCCGCGACGCGUUGGGGACACACGGGCGUCUGAGGCCCGGGUCCUGGUAGGAACCGGCGGCGCGUUCGUCCUCCGCUCCUCGUUGGGCGGGGGGCGUUUUUCCAGCGCGCCCGUCCGGGGAUCCCCCGGUGCCCUCGUCUUGCCCCCCCGACGGUCUCUCCUCCGGGGCCUGCCGGGAACGGGGGACUGGUCCGAGGCCGCGGUCGAGCCUAAUUCGCUGGCUCCCGCGCUUCCCUUUCCCUCUCCCGCGUGGCCUUCGCGGCGUGCAAAGAGUCGGUACUCCUCCCGACCCGUCUUGAAACACGGACCAAGGAGUCCAACAUGUAUGCGAGUCAAUGGGCGCGCUAAACCCACGGGCGCAAUGAAAGUGAUCGGGCCGAUCCCUCGGAGCAGCGGGCGGCCGCGCGCACCCGGACGGAGUGACUGACUUUCCUCCCCGGGACGGCGCGGGCUCCCUCCCGCUCCCGCACGCCCCGCACGCCCCUCACCGGGCGGCGGGGGGGGCGCAGGUCCGGGACUCGCCAUGACGAACGGUCGCCCCCCGCCUCGGCGGGCUCGGGCGGCCGGAUGUGUCGGCGGGUACCCAGAGCAUAGAUGUUGGGACCCGAAAGAUAGUGAACUAUGCUUGGCCAGGAUGAAGCCAGGGGAAACCCUGGUGGAGGUCCGAAGCGUUUCUGACGUGCAAAUCGAUCGCCAGAGCUGAGUAUAGGGGCGAAAGACCAAUCGAACUAUCUAGUAGCUGGUUCCCUCCGAAGUUUCCCUCAGGAUAGCUGGCGCUCGCUUCGAACGAGUUCCAUCCGGUAAAGCGAAUGACUAGGGGUGUUGGGGACGAAAUGUCCUCAGCCCAUUCUCAAACUUUAAAUGGGUGAGGUGCCGGGCUUGCUUCGCUGAAGCCCCGGACGAGAAUCGGAGUGCCUAGUGGGCCAAUUUUGGUAAGCAGAACUGGCGCUGUGGGAUGAACCAAACGUCGAGUUAAGGGGCCUAAAUGGAUGCUAAUUCCGAUCCCAUGGAAGGGAGUUGCUUGCUAUAGACAGCAGGACGGUGGCCAUGGAAGUUGGAAUCCGCUAAGGAGUGUGUAACAACUCACCUGCCGAAGCAAGUAACCCCGAAAAUGGCAUGGCGCUCAAGCAUCCUCCCGAUACUCGACCGCCGGGCGCACUAUAGGCUGCGUCGAGGAGGUCUCGAGGCCCCGGCGAGUAGGAGGGCGCGGUGGUGAGCGUAGAAGGAUACGGCGCGAGCCGGUCUGGAGCCGCCACUGGUGCGGAUCUUGGUGGUAGUAGCAAAUGCUCGAGCAAGCCGAACCCUCGUUGACCGAAGCGGAGGAGGGUUCCCCGCCAACAUCGCUUGGUCGUGGAUAAGUCGGCCCUUAGCCCGAGGAUAGCUUCCCUCCGAUCCCCUGGAAAACGCCACAAACAGUCGAGAGCUCUUCUUGGGAUCUCCCUGUUUUGGAAAGGGGUCGAGGCGGCACGAGGCCCGAGCAGCAGCAGCCAGCCCAACCCGGGCGGGCGGGCUCUCGGGGCUUGUCGGCGCCGGCUGCGAACGGUGUGGGGCCCUGAUGAUGAUGGUUUUUUGAUGAGAAACCACUCUCAGGGCCUCUCGCGGCCGGCGUCUUGGCCACGGCCUUUUUUNNNNNNNNNNNNNNNNNNNNNNNNNNNNNNNNNNNNNNNNNNNNNNNGCGCUGGCGGCCACGCCAAUCCCCCGCCUCAGCAAUUUGUCUGGAUCCAAACGACANNNNNNNNNNNNNNNNNNNNNNNNNNNNNNNNNNNNNCGGUCCAGUCAGAUUUCGGGCUAAAGGGAAUACGGUUAAAAUCCCGUGACCUGCCCCGUGGGAAGACAGACCCGUGCGUGGGAAA
rnacentral:rRNA from 1 species